AGAUUUCCCAGAGUGGAAAAAUACACUAAUUAUUUGGGCUGUCAUCCCAUUACAAUCUCUUCUCCAGUAAGUACUUCUCUUUCUUGUAUGCUUUUCUCUGUCUUUGCUUCUCCAAGUGAAGCAAAGCAGAAAUACUUUUGCAUUGAAUCUUGUGGAAGAUACUGUGCUUGAGGAGUUGGCGAGCCCUGACUUCUGAACUAGGCUGUGUGCUUAAAAGACCACUAUAUUCUCGUGAAUGACUGCAGCAUAACCCCAGCUGUAUAACAAUAGAGGGCAAAGUGCCGGAAGUGUGUUGCUUCUGGAUAAAGGUCUUAUUCAUUUAGAUAGGUAAAAGGAGCUAUGUACUGGGUGGGAGUGGACCUCACCAUAGAUGGUGUCUGCACAGCAUGAUUUGGCUAUGCGUCUGGGGCUACGCAUUCAGUUGUAUACAAGAGCAGGUUACUCAGCAUCUGAAAGGAUAAGAAUUACAGACAGUGGGGCGCAUGACUUCUCACAAGCUUAACAGAGAAAAGGCAAGAGGAAGCACUUCUAAGGAAAAUCCUGAAUGGGUUUAAGGAAAAAAUUAUUCACCAUAAAAGCACAUAAUCACUGGAACGAGUAAACUAGCUCAAGAAAAUUAUGGAAUCAGCAGCCUUCAGAACUCAGUUGUACGAGGCCCUGACAACCUGAGCUGGCCUUGAAGACACUUUUGCUUGGAAUGGUGCUUGAACAAGAAAACCACAGAAUUCCAGUUUAUUUCUGUUAUCCCACAAUCUCAGUUACAUCACUGAGAGGUAAGUAAAUAAAACUCACCAGGACUAAUAACCAGCUUUGCUGAGAAGAAGCAUGGGACUUCACGAGACCCAUGAGUUAGAAGCAGAUGGCUAAAUGUAUUACAUUCAGGCAUGAAGAGGAGUAGAAGAGAGGGCAUUCUGUGCCAGUGGUGGCUGCUGAGCUUGAAAUACAUGGAUGUGCCUCACUUCUUACUGCACUCAAUCUCAACUACUUACUGUAGUUCAUCAUGUGGAAUUUUCUGCCUUGAGAAGUCAUGAUGUGUGUUACUAAAAUAAUGCAAAAUCUGAAGUUAAUGGUAUAGAAAAAUAACGCAUGAAAGGUGCAAUUCAGUUACAUUUUGAGAUAUAGUAUGAUUAUUUGUUAUUUGUUUUGUAUUUAUGACACUGAACACUAGGCCAGAUGCUUCUAGAUAAAAAGGUAAUUAAAUAUUUCUAUUUCAGAGAGCUUUGUAGUAGAGUCAAACAUGAAAAACAGAACACAAAGAUGAACAAGAUGGUGGUAAAAUCCUAUUAAUAUUGUUGUUAUAUCUAUCCCUUUGCUUCUCUGUGCAGAUUGGAUGCAUCUGAAAUGCAUCAAAAUAUGCAAAUUUUUGAGAAUUCUGGAAAAGAACUCUCUGUGCCCUGCCACAAAACAGUAGGUUUUGCUGCUAUUCAGAAUUAAAAAGGAGUCUACUCUCCUUUUACCCCUACUCUUGCAGCACAGCCAAUGCAGCAAAAGGUCUGUUACAAGGUGAGAGGCAAGCAAUGUGUUGAAAUUGUGGAGGCAUCCCUGUCUAUUGUUUUUCUGAGUUAAUCAUGUGGUCACUAGAACUUGUAGAACUGCCAGUCUCUCAGGUAAGCAAAGCCAGCAGGUAAAGCGCUCUCCUUCUAAGAGAGUGUCUUAUUUGCUUUCUGGUAUAAAGGGUUGUAUUAAGAUAUGAGCUCAUAUGAUUUUAUAAUAGACAUCAGUGAUUCAUGUCAUCAGAAUGUAACUUGCAUUUUGGGUGGAUCACAAUGUCACUCAAAGUAACGAAAGUAUAAACAUGAAAAAUACUCUUUAACUUCUUUAAAAACCUGGAAAUAUAUAUUGAGAAAAAACUCAGUCUGUUUCCUUUUAAACUCUUACGUAUUCUCUACCUCAUUUCUAAAUUGUUAUCAUUUUCAUUAUCAGUAAGGUUGGAUUAUAUCUGAAAUAGUGCUAUUAUAAUUGGCUUUGAUCCUCUGGAACUCUUUUGACAAUGUAUUUAAAACUUUGUAAAAUAUAAUUAUGAUAAU
ensembl:lncRNA